UUAAGUUCAGCGGGUAGUCCUACUCGAUUUGAGGUCAAGUUGUCAGAAGAUUGUCCGAAGACAGUUUGAAGCAACAGAGCUCCUGAUCGGCCACCCUCUUUGCGAGGAGCCGGCGAAGACACUUAUCACGCCGUACUAUGUCCAAUCAAGAGGUGCACUAACAUAUUUCAGGUGAGCCUCAGUCAAGUGGCAACACCCAA
rnacentral:misc_RNA from 1 species